CCUACGGGAGGCUGCAGUGGGGAAUAUUGCACAAUGGGGGAAACCCUGAUGCAGCGACGCCGCGUGAGUGAAGAAGUAAUUAGUUAUGUAAAGCUCUAUCAGCAGGGAAGAAAAUGACGGUACCUGAGUAAGAAGCCACAGCUAACUACGUGCCAGCAGCCGCGGUAAUACGGAGGGGGCAAGCGUUAUCCGGAUUUACUGGGGUUAAAGGGAGCGUAGACGGCAGUGCAAGUCUGGAGGGAAAGGCGGGGGCUCAACCCCCGGACUGCUCUGGAAACUGUACGGCUUGAGUGCAGGAGAGGUAAGUGGAAUUCCUAGUGUAGCGGUGAAAUGCGUAGAUAUUAGGAGGAACACCAGUGGCGAAGGCGGCUUACUGGACUGUAACUGACGUUGAGGCUCGAAAGCGUGGGGAGCAAACAGGAUUAGAUACCCCAGUAGUC
rnacentral:rRNA from 1 species